rnacentral:rRNA from 1 species
UCGAGGGGCAGCGAGUAGAUUGCUUGCAAUCUACGUCGGCGACCGGCGCACGGGUGCGUAACGCGUAUGCAACCUACCCAUUACAGGGGGAUAACACUGAGAAAUCGGUACUAAUACCCCAUAACAUCCAGGGAGGCAUCUUCUUGGGUUGAAAACUCCGGUGGUAAUGGAUGGGCAUGCGUUGUAUUAGUUAGUUGGUGGGGUAACGGCUCACCAAGACGACGAUACAUAGGGGGACUGAGAGGUUAACCCCCCACAUUGGUACUGAGACACGGACCAAACUCCUACGGGAGGCAGCAGUGAGGAAUAUUGGUCAAUGGACGCAAGUCUGAACCAGCCAUGCCGCGUGCAGGAAGACGGCUCUAUGAGUUGUAAACUGCUUUUGUACGAGGGUAAACGCAGAUACGUGUAUCUGUCUGAAAGUAUCGUACGAAUAAGGAUCGGCUAACUCCGUGCCAGCAGCCGCGGUAAUACGGAGGAUUCAAGCGUUAUCCGGAUUUAUUGGGUUUAAAGGGUGCGUAGGCGGUCGGAUAAGUUAGAGGUGAAAUCCCGGGGCUCAACUUCGGAAUUGCCUCUGAUACUGUUCGGCUAGAGAGUAGUUGCGGUAGGCGGAAUGUAUGGUGUAGCGGUGAAAUGCUUAGAGAUCAUACAGAACACCGAUUGCGAAGGCAGCUUACCAAGCUACUUCUGACGUUGAGGCACGAAAGCGUGGGGAGCAAACAGGAUUAGAUACCCUGGUAGUCCACGCAGUAAACGAUGAUAACUCGUUGUCGGCGAUACAAUGUCGGUGACUAAGCGAAAGCGAUA